UUUUUUUUUUUAGAGACAAGGUCUCGCUCUGUCACCCAGGCUGGAGUGCAGUGGCACAAUCACUACAGUCUCAACCUCCUGGGCUCAAGCGAUCCUCCAGUCUUAGCCUCUUGAGUAGCUGGAAUUACAGGGUUUUAGAAGUGACGUCCAAUGGAACACAGAGUCUGAGGGUGAACGGAGGGGAUACACACACGUGUGACCAGAGAGGCUGCCGUCUGCUUGUGUGUAGCAUUCACGAUGCCCAUGAACACGGAAUUCCUAGGGAACACCCAGCAGCAGGAGUUUAGCGGGAUCUCCAGGUGACAGCAAGGGGCAGCGCCCACUGCGGGGGUCACAGGUGUCCAGGCUGCCAGCGGGAUUGCAGGUGCAGGGUCUGCCAAAGAGACAGGAUAAGGGGAAAACGUGCAAUGAGCAACUUCAGAAUGGCAACAGCCCAUCCUAGGAAGGGAGCUUUCCCUGCUGCCAACAUCAGGAGUGAGGCUGACGCAGGUAACUGACCUGGCUUUACUGUUCCCAUCUUGCCAAGGAAGUGACCCAUCCAUCACUGGUACAGUGGUCCAUCUUCCCACCCACCACACAUCCAUCCAGGAUCCUUCCAUCUGUCAUCCACGCACUCACUCAUCAUCCAUGAAUCUUUCUUUUUUUGGGGGGGGGGGACAGAGUCACACUUUGCCACCCAGGCUGGAGUGCAGUGUCAUGAUCUUGGCUCACUGCAACCUCUGCCUCCUGGGUUCAAGUGAUUCUCCUGUCUCAGCCUCCUGAGUAGCCAGGACUACAGGCAUGCAUCACCAUGGUCCAGCUAAUUUUUGUAUUUUUAGUAGAGACAGCGUUUCACCAUGUUGGCUAGACUGGUCUUUAACUCGUGACCUCAGGUGAUCCACCUGCCUUGGCCUCCCAAAGUGCCAGGAUUACAUACAUGAGCCACCGUGCUCGGCCUCCAUGAAUCUUUCUGUCUAUCCCCUCACUCCUCCAUCCACUUAUUCAUCCUUCCUUCUUUCUGUCCAGCAGCCACCUAUCCACCCAUUCAUUCACCCAUCCAUGCAUCUUCCCACCCCUCCCUCCAUCCAUCCACUCAUCCAAUAAGACAUGGUUCCUCCCUGGUGAAUCCCAGUCUGGUGUAGACAGACAGAUCACGCAGACCCUGUACCGUGAUACGUGUUGUGGGAGAUGUACGAGACGCUGUGCCUGCACUGUGGGGCCUCUGACUCAGCCUGCGUGUGCAGGCGAGGGGCAGGUGGGAGGGAAGGUGUCCCGAGAGGGGAGGCUGCUCAGCUGAGACCUGAAGAAUGAGCAGGGGGCUGUGAGCCACAGGCUGGGGAGAGGGGGCAGAGGUGGGAGGUGUGGCACCUGCAAAGGUCCAGAGGCCAGAGGGACCCCAGGGAAGCAGCCAGGCCCCAUCUCAUGGUCAGUUUUAUGCCCAGAACCACCAAAUAUUUUACAAGGAACCAGAGCUCUCCUAGAUAUCCCCAAUGUGUUUCUGCUGCCUUUCAAAUAUACAAAGAUGCCCGUUAUCAACCAAAGCAAGUUCACUUAAAAGUGCUUCUGGGCCGGGCGCGGUGACUCGCGUCUGUAAUCAGCACUUUGGGAAGCCGAGGAGGGUGGAUUACUUGAGCCCAGGAGCUUGAGACCAGCCUGGGCAACAUGGCAAAACCCCAUCUCUACCAAAAAAUACAAAAAUUAGCCGGGUGUGGUGGCGCACAUUUGUAAUCUCAGCUACUCGGGAGGCUGAG